rnacentral:ribozyme from 14 species
AAAAGAAAUAAAGAAAAUCAAAUCUUGGGUACAAUGCUCUGUUCUGUGCUUUGAAAACUGGAUUUCCCGCUCUUCUUCUUUUAAUUUUUGCCGGGCUCUCCUCCCUCUCCUUCCUGAAUUAAUUUUACAUACACAG